GUAGGUGAACCUGCGGAAGGAUCAUUAACACGUUUACCACGUAUCUAACAAACUUCGUGAACCUUAAUGUCAGGGUCACUUCUGGCUGGCAGGGAAACCAAGGUGAUUCUUGGUAGUACUCGCUGUCUAGUCGUGAUCGUAAGAUUAUGCGGUUUGAGUUAUGCAGUCGACCACCCGUUGACACCGACGCGCACGUUCUGUGUGCGGAGCCGUAGACGGUCCCGUCUGUAGAUCAUUCCGCACGAAAUCACCGAACCAAUAUCACCCUUUGUCAAGCCGUCUACGAUUUAGCGGUUCCGCUGCUUCGUAGUUCACGGAUUGAUGUUACUUAACUUAUUUUUCUUUGUUAUGAAGGACUGCAAACCGUGGACCUCACGGCUAGCUUUUCUUUAAUACAAACUCUGUACAACUCUUAGCAACGGAUAUCUUGGUUUCC
rnacentral:misc_RNA from 1 species